rnacentral:lncRNA from 1 species
GUGACUCCAUUAUUUACCAGGGAAAGUACAUCCUUUGAAGUAGGGGAAAUUGCAACUUAACCUCUAUACUUUCGAGAUUUUCUCGAUCAACCCUGUAGUUCAAUUCAUUGUGUCAACCCCUAUAGUUUCAAUCACGCCCCUCACCCUAUAGUUUCAAUCAAGCCCCUCAAUUAGACCUGUUCCCGGCUUGACAUGACGAACAUUCUUGUGACUUCCGAACACCCUCGACUGAAGAGGCACGGAAUUUUUAUUUUAGCUGCCACGGAGUGCUUGAAUUUUGCUCGAUGGAUGGCGUGAGUGUCAUCGAACAUGAAAUUCUGGGCCAAUCUGAGACAAAACUCAAGUCAUGGGGGAUUGACUGAAACCGGUCGAAUUAUAAGUGGUUGAAUCAAGCCUUGAAAUAAAACAUAGGGGGCAAAACGCAAUUUUACUCCCUAUUUAAGUAAGUAGCAAUCUCACCUGUUUGCAGGGUCAGGCAUUGAUGAGCUGACCAAAUAUGGAUGGGAAAGGAACAAAGGAGACAGAGAUUUGCAUCCAGAGACUUAUCGGGCCUGCAUGGAAACACUCCUUGUUUCUGUUUCUGAACAAUUUUUUUGUUCCUGAGAACAAAAAAAGAAGAGAAACACGUUUAGUUGCGUUUCUGUUCUUUUCUUGUUUUUUUGUUCCUGGAACAAAAUUGAAACAAAAAAAACUUACUUCUUGUUCCAGAAACAAUUUUGAAGAAACACUUCUUCUUCUCUCUUCUCG